rnacentral:misc_RNA from 1 species
GAUGAAGAACGUAGCGAAAUGCGAUACUUGGUGUGAAUUGCAGAAUCCCGUGAACCAUCGAGUCUUUGAACGCAAGUUGCGCCCAAGCCAUCAGGUUGAGGGCACGUCUGCCUGGGCGUCACAUAUCGUUGCCCAAUGCCUAUUGCAGUGCAAUAGGAAUUUCUAGGGCGAAUGAUGGCUUCCCGUGAGCGUUGUUGCCUCGCGGUUGGUUGAAAAUCGAGUCCUUGGUAGGGUGUGCCAUGGUAGAUGGUGGUCGAGUUAGAACGAUACCGAUCAUGUGCAUGCUCCCCAAAAUAUGGCCUCUAUGACCCACACGCGUCUUUUGACGCUCAUGACGAGACCUCAGGUCAGGCGGGGCUACCCGCUGAAUUUAAGCAUAUCAAUAAGCGGAGGA